AUUUGAAUUGUAGAGCCAUGCAGCAUGCUUCAGGACGGAACAUGUCUUCUGAAGAAGUCAGAGACACUUUAGGUGAAGAGUGCUCAUGCUGCCUUGUUACUCGAGGUGAACAUGUGAUUCAUCAAACAUCAGAAGACUACACACAGCUGGCUUAGGAAAGACUAUCCUAAAUGCUAACAUGCAGACAGUAGCAGUAAUGCUCACUAGAAUAAUUUACUGUAUGAAAUAAUCUGUAUUUUAGGCUGUAGUGCAGAAGACAAAAAGAGAAACAACACAACCGUCUGUCAUAUAUCAUCUAGUGUACUUUUAUUAAGGAAAUAAUGAUAUAAAAUAGAUAAUAAUAGCACAUAACAGAAGUCCAAACAUACUAGGUUUCAUUUUGUGGAAAAUGUGCAGACGAGUCACAUCCCGCAUAACAAUUUUCCUGCUUUCUUGAAAUCUUUCAUGCGCUAGAACAACGAAGCAAUCAGACAAAAAGAAA